CCUACGGGAGGCAGCAGUGGGGAAUAUUGGGCAAUGGAGGAAACUCUGACCCAGCAACGCCGCGUGAAUGAUGAAGGUCUUCGGAUUGUAAAGUUCUUUUCUAAGGGAAGAAGAAAGUGACGGUACCUUAGGAAUAAGCCUCGGCUAACUACGUGCCAGCAGCCGCGGUAAUACGUAGGAGGCAAGCGUUAUCCGGAAUGACUGGGCGUAAAGGGGGCGUAGGUGGUUUGACAAGUUGGUAGCGUAACUCCGGGGCUCAACCUCGGCACUACUACCAAAACUGUCGGACUUGAGUGCAGGAGGGGCAAAUGGAAUUCCGAGUGUAGCGGUGGAAUGCGUAGAUAUUAGGAGGAACACCAGUGGCGAAGGCGAUUUGCUGGACUGUAACUGACACUGAGGCACGAAAGCGUGGGGAGCAAACAGGAUUAGAUACCCCUGUAGUC
rnacentral:rRNA from 1 species